CCCUUAGAUGUUCGGGGUCGCACGCGCGCUACACUGAAUGGAUCAACGUGCCUUUCCCGAGGCUGAAAAGUCGAGGUAAUCCGUUGAACCCCAUUCGUGACGGGGAUAGGAGCUUGCAAUUAUUCUCCUUGAACGAGGAAUUCCCAGUAAGCGCGAGUCAUCAGCUCGCGUUGAUUACGUCCCUGCCCUUUGUACACACCGCCCGUCGCUACUACCGAUCGGAUUGUCCUGUGAAUUUCUAGGAGAGUUGAGGUCCUGGCGCUUCGGUGUCGGCGACCUCAUGCUUGAAUUGAAUUGAACUGGACUCUCUAGAGGAAGUAAAAGUCGUAACA
rnacentral:rRNA from 1 species